UACGAAGGGGGCGAGCGUUGUUCGGAUUUACUGGGCGUAAAGGGCGCGCAGGCGGUUCUGUUUGUCGAGUGUGAAAGCCCCGGGCUCAACCUGGGAACUGCGCUCGAAACGGCGGAACUAGAGUUCGGGAGAGGAGAGUGGAAUUCCCAGUGUAGAGGUGAAAUUCGUAGAUAUUGGGAAGAACACCGAUGGCGGAGGAGGGCGACUCU
rnacentral:rRNA from 1 species